AAUUUUAGAAAUAGCAAUUGAGGCCAAUAAAUAGUUUGCUUGCUUGCUUGCUUGCUUCCUUUCUUUAAAAUAUGCCAGAUAAUUUUAGUUUCUAACUGAAAUACUGAAGCUGCUUCUUUCCAAUCUCCUUGUGUUUCUUCUGAAAUAGCUCCAGUGAUGCUACUUUUCAAGAGGUAGAAGGUUUGGAGGCAUCUUGCUGUGGUGUUUUAUUUUGUUUCUCCAUUUUUUUCUCCUCUCUACUUCCGUGAAUGAAGUGAUUAGCUACAGCUAUAGGGUAGGUGGAGAAAAAGAAAAAUGCUUAUUUCCUUUUUGGUUGACUCUCAGGAACACCAGAUUGCCAUCCCAGGGGAACAGAAUGCAACCCGGGAUCUAGAGAGCUGUCACAUUCCAAGAAAUAUUUAAAUUGUGCUGAUUUUCUUCUGGAGAACUGAGCCCAGGGAAUGAAACUCUCCAUCAAGUCAUGGCUUUGCGGGCAAUAGAUCAGAGGAUAUUGCCAGUUUUCUAAUGGAUUAUUGUUAUCGGGCAGAUUUUCUCUGAAGGUACGUAGUUAUUUUCUCAAUUCAUUACCCUCUCUUCUUUAUCAGGUAAUAAUCUAAUGAGCUAGGAAUCCAAACCUGUAAAAAGAGAAAGAUGUUAAGUAGUCAGUAUUGACUAAAGAAUGACACUUUAUUGCUACAUGUUUAUAGGUGAAAUAAUCUGAUUCCUUUACUAAAGAUUAGUAAAAUAUAGUUUGAAUUGCAUUGUCAGCAGAAACAGGAAAAAUCACAACAAAACCGUGCUGCAGGCUGCAUUAUCAUAAGUUCAUAUUAAUUCUCUUGAGGAUUUUCCUUUUGUAGCUGCAACAUAUAAUAAAGAAAAAUAUGUACUUUGGACACUCACUUAUCCAUAUGGAAUUUUGAAUCUUUUAAAAAAAUCAUAGUAUUUUCUCUGUAUUUUCCCAAAUACAAACUUUGUAUCAAAUGCUUGUAUUUAUUUUGGUAACAUGGAUAGAUAUGAUAUAUAAAUAUUUGAAUGAUGAAAGUAUUUAAUUCAAAGAAACUUCAGUAGAAGUGUUUUUGAGGAUAUUAUGUUGAUGUACUUUGUUUGCCUUACAGAUAUUUAUUUUUGAGUUUGAAAGGAUUUUACUAAAAUUGAUUGCUACAGUUUUAGUUAAAUACGCUACAAAAUUAUUAUUUAACUUUGUUCUGCUAGUGAAAACCUCAAUACAUUUCAUAGUAGAAUAACUGUUUAGCAAAGCAAAAUGUUAAAAGCUGAAAAACUUCUGAAUAUCAACAGAACCAAUAAAAUGGGAGAAAGCCUAUUCUAAACUGAAAUGUAUACUAUUAUACUUAUGACAUCUUAAAACAGCAAAGGUGACUUCUGUGUCUGUUUCUGAAAAGUUAAAGGUUUGUGUGUUUGUUCUGUGUCAGAGAGAGAAUGAGAGUAGAAUAGAAAAGAAACAUGUAAUAAUCACAGUAAGCUUAUAAACGCGUAGUAGUAGGGCAUUUGAUGUUUUUAUUAAUAUUUUAUUAUUGUGUGCAUAGGCUGAGUGAAAUCUAUCAUGUCGUU
rnacentral:lncRNA from 1 species